rnacentral:rRNA from 1 species
AGAGUUUGAUCCUGGCUCAGGACGAACGUUGGCGGCGCGCCUAACACAUGCAAGUCGAACGGAGCUUAGAGAGCUUGCUUUUUAAGCUUAGUGGCGAACGGGUGAGUAACGCGUGAGUAACCUGCCCUAGAGUGGGGGACAACAGUUGGAAACGACUGCUAAUACCGCAUAAGCCCACGGUACCGCAUGGUACUGAGGGAAAAGGAUUUAUUCGCUUUAGGAUGGACUCGCGUCCAAUUAGCUAGUUGGUGAGGUAACGGCCCACCAAGGCGACGAUUGGUAGCCGGACUGAGAGGUUGAACGGCCACAUUGGGACUGAGACACGGCCCAGACUCCUACGGGAGGCAGCAGUGGGGGAUAUUGCACAAUGGGGGAAACCCUGAUGCAGCGACGCCGCGUGGAGGAAGAAGGUUUUCGGAUUGUAAACUCCUGUCGUUAGGGACGAUAAUGACGGUACCUAACAAGAAAGCACCGGCUAACUACGUGCCAGCAGCCGCGGUAAAACGUAGGGUGCAAGCGUUGUCCGGAAUUACUGGGUGUAAAGGGAGCGCAGGCGGGAAGACAAGUUGGAAGUGAAAACCAUGGGCUCAACCCAUGAAUUGCUUUCAAAACUGUUUUUCUUGAGUAGUGCAGAGGUAGAUGGAAUUCCCGGUGUAGCGGUGGAAUGCGUAGAUAUCGGGAGGAACACCAGUGGCGAAGGCGGUCUACUGGGCACCAACUGACGCUGAGGCUCGAAAGCAUGGGUAGCAAACAGGAUUAGAUACCCUGGUAGUCCAUGCCGUAAACGAUGA